rnacentral:rRNA from 1 species
AUUGAACGCUGGCGGCAGGCCUAACACAUGCAAGUCGGGCGGAUGAAGGGAGCUUGCUCCUGGAUUCAGCGGCGGACGGGUGAGUAAUGCCUAGGAAUCUGCCUGGUAGUGGGGGAUAACGUCCGGAAACGGGCGCUAAUACCGCAUACGUCCUGAGGGAGAAAGUGGGGGAUCUUCGGACCUCACGCUAUCAGAUGAGCCUAGGUCGGAUUAGCUAGUUGGUGGGGUAAAGGCCUACCAAGGCGACGAUCCGUAACUGGUCUGAGAGGAUGAUCAGUCACACUGGAACUGAGACACGGUCCAGACUCCUACGGGAGGCAGCAGUGGGGAAUAUUGGACAAUGGGCGAAAGCCUGAUCCAGCCAUGCCGCGUGUGUGAAGAAGGUCUUCGGAUUGUAAAGCACUUUAAGUUGGGAGGAAGGGCAGUAAGUUAAUACCUUGCUGCUUUGACGUUACCAACAGAAUAAGCACCGGCUAACUUCGUG